rnacentral:rRNA from 1 species
GACGAACGCUGGCGGCGUGCUUAACAUAUGCAAGUCGAACGGAAAGGCCCUGCUUUUGUGGGGUGCUCGAGUGGCGAACGGGUGAGUAACACGUGAGUAACCUGCCCUUGACUUUGGGAUAACUUCAGGAAACUGGGGCUAAUACCGGAUAGGAGCUCCUGCUGCAUGGUGGGGGUUGGAAAGUUUCGGCGGUUGGGGAUGGACUCGCGGCUUAUCAGCUUGUUGGUGGGGUAGUGGCUUACCAAGGCUUUGACGGGUAGCCGGCCUGAGAGGGUGACCGACCACAUUGGGACUGAGAUACGGCCCAGACUCCUACGGGAGGCAGCAGUGGGGAAUAUUGCACAAUGGGCGGAAGCCUGAUGCAGCAACGCCGCGUGCGGGAUGACGGCCUUCGGGUUGUAAACCGCUUUCGCCUGUGACGAAGCGUGAGUGACGGUAAUGGGUAAAGAAGCACCGGCUAACUACGUG